UACAGAGACCUCAAGCGUUAUCCGGAUUUAUUGGGCGUAAAGCGUCCGCAGGUGGUUUGGUACGUUCCGCGUCAAAUGUCGAAGCUCAACUUCGGCACUGCGUAGAAUACGGCCAGGCUCGAGGCUGGGAGAGGUAAGCGGAAUUGCCGGUGUAGUAGUAAAAUGCGUUAAUAUCGGCAGGAACACCAAAUGCGAAGGCAGCUUACUGGAACAAGCCUGACACUCAUGGACGAAAGCGUGGGGAGCGAAAGGG
rnacentral:rRNA from 1 species